AGAAAAAAAAGGAAAAAGAAUUUAAAAAUAAGAUAAUUGGCACACGAAUUUUGAAGCGGUCAUUCGCACGGAGAAUAUUAGUCCAGAUUGUCUCGUGUAAGUUUUAAAAAAAUCUACAGUGUCUACAGUGUCAUACUUGCAUGGAGGAUAUUAGUCCAGAUCGUCUGGCGUAAGUUUUAAAAAAGUCUACCGUGUCAUCGUACUUGCACAACAUUAUUAGUAACAAGCAAAUUAAUUUUUUUAAAAAUAUAUAAUAAAAAUAUUUUUUUAUUAAUUAUGAUGGGACAAAUAAACUCAAAGAGGAUAAUUUUAUUAAUUAAAAAUAUCAUAUCAGCAAUAUAAUUGAUAUAUUCUAAAUUUUUCCUCUGGAUG
rnacentral:lncRNA from 1 species